rnacentral:rRNA from 1 species
CCGGCGCACGGUGAGUAACGCGUAUGCAACUUACCUAUCAGAGGGGGAUAACCCGGCGAAAGUCGGACUAAUACCGCAUGAAGCAGGGAUCCCGCAUGGGAAUAUUUGCUAAAGAUUCAUCGCUGAUAGAUAGGCAUGCGUUCCAUUAGGCAGUUGGCGGGGUAACGGCCCACCAAACCGACGAUGGAUAGGGGUUCUGAGAGGAAGGUCCCCCACAUUGGAACUGAGACACGGUCCAA